CGCGGUGGAAGAAGUGCCUCUGAGGAGUUCUUCUGCUUUCAGGGGAAGAAGUUUGGUGUUAACACUUGAACGCAGCUCUGUGAGGAAAACGCCCUGAAAGACUGAAACUACAGUCGGAUCAGAUAAACGCCGACUGGAACCGUGUCAAAUGUUCAGUUCAUUGCCGGAUAAUUUCCCAGCUGAGCAGCUGUUCACCGUGAAACAUCUGGAAAACCUCCAACAAAACACAGUCAGCUGGUGAAUGCAGUCCAGAUGUUUGCAGAUAAACGCGCAGAUUUUCUCCAGGAGGCCAAUAAAAGCUGAUGUUUCUUAAUUUCUGCUGGAUUUAAACAGAAACAGAGCUGAAGGAGGUUCAUCAGCUGAUGAAGCCUCAACUUGGUCCAGUGGUUCAUCUGCAUCAAACCAACACCGUCAGCAUGGUUCUUUAGUGCACAGUUAUGUAGUUUUUGUUAGAAUAAAUCUAAUUUAGUCACCACACAGUUGUUGUCUCCUUGUUUUUUGUUACAGUUUUUUAACCAGGCUGGAACAAGUGACAGUAAUUUUUGUAGGCCGUCAGAUUGAUCCUCUGCACCUUCAAACUGCAGCAGCAAAGGUGAAAUAUGAUGAAAAUGAUGAAUGUAUUCAACAAAUCUUACUACUGAAUAAAGAAACAAACUUUUUGGAA